GAUCCAUUAGCUCAGUGGUUAGAGCGCCGCCCUGUCACGGCGGAGGCCGCCGGUUCAAAUCCGGCAUGGAUCGCCA
rnacentral:tRNA from 1 species